rnacentral:rRNA from 1 species
GACGAACGCUGGCGGCGUGCUUAACACAUGCAAGUCGAACGGUAAGGCCCUUCGGGGUACACGAGUGGCGAACGGGUGAGUAACACGUGGGUGAUCUGCCCUGCACUUCGGGAUAAGCCUGGGAAACUGGGUCUAAUACCGGAUAGGACCACUGCCUGCAUGGGUGGUGGUGGAAAGCUUUUGCGGUGUGGGAUGGGCCCGCGGCCUAUCAGCUUGUUGGUGGGGUGAUGGCCUACCAAGGCGACGACGGGUAGCCGGCCUGAGAGGGUGACCGGCCACACUGGGACUGGGAUACGGCCCAGACUCCUACGGGAGGCAGCAGUGGGGAAUAUUGCACAAUGGGCGCAAGCCUGAUGCAGCGACGCCGCGUGAGGGAUGACGGCCUUCGGGUUGUAAACCUCUUUCAGCACCGACGAAGCGCAAGUGACGGUAGGUGCAGAAGAAGGACCGGCCAACUACGUGCCAGCCGCCGCAGUAAGAC